GAACAACAUAUGUCGAAAUUUAAUAUUUGAAUAUUUUUUCAGGUAAAUGACAAAUUGAUAACAAAGCACAUAGGAGGCACCUGUAAAGACAGAAAACCAGCGACACAAAAACCAAAACACGUCGUAGAGAUCAACAUAUGAUCUUCAACAUUAUACAAGUGUCUACACAUGCUGUAAAUCGCCGAUUCUGGAAAAGUUCUGAUUAAACUUAAUAGAGGAUGUCAAAAUCUGCCAUCAGCACCAAUUAUAAAAAAAAAAUGACAAAAAGAUUUAAAUUAAGCUAAAAGCCGACAACUACUGACUAGGCACACGGAAUGCAUCUGUUUGCUAAGCAAGAUUUCUUGUCUAUUGAAGAUGCCUGUAAUGAGACUGAAACACGGAUAUUAUAAGUUUCCAUAUACUUUGGAUGCUUAACUACCUAUCAUUGAAGGUCACGUGGUUACUUGAGAUCCUCUAAAUUAAAUGUGCUGUAUGUCCACGAGGUGACGUUGUUAUUUCAAAUUAUUCAAAGUACCAAACUAUAAGAUUAAUCCACGAGAUAGUAUCUCUAUAAUUCCAAUUAGGUUUGCGUCGUUCAGUUGUAGAUAUAAAUAAGAAGAUGUGGUAUGAGUGCCAAUGAGACAACUAAUCAUCCAAGUCACAAUGUGUAAAAAGUGAACAAUUAUGGGUCAAAGUAUGGCCUUCAAUACGAAGCCUUGGCUCACACCGAACAGCAAGCUAUAAAGGGUCCAAAAUGACUAGUGUAAAACAAUUCAAACAGGAAAACCAACGGUCUAAUCUAUAUAAAAAACGAGAAACGAGAAACACUUAUGAACCAUACAAACAAACAACAACCACAGAUCAACAGGCUCCUGACUUAGAACAGAUGCAUAAAAAUGCAGCGGGUUUAAACGUUUUAACAGGCGCCAACCUUCACCCUAACCUGAGACAAAGGUGUAACAUUACAACAUAAAAAGACACACAAUAAAAUAUCAAUUGAAAUGGCUUAGCUCGAUCAAAAGGUCAAUGUUGUUUUGUGUCUAUAUUAUUUUGUGUCUAUGUUGUUUUAUCAUAUUUCAGGUCGUUGGUUUUUCUUCGUUGAAUCGUUUCACAUUUUGGGCCUUAUUCAUGACUAACUGAAGGAAAUUGUGAAAACAGGACACAGAGGUUGUGCACCAAUUCAAACGUAGGAAGAUCCAACGGUAAAGGUGGAUUUAGUACCUUCCAGUAAAAGAACAAUUAAUGCUGAAAUGUAUAGUAUCAAAUGUCCACUUCUUGAAAACUAUAUAUAUCGCCUUGAGGCCCCAUUCCGAGUUAUGGGGCUCAUUGUAUAGUACUUAAUGAAUAUUUCAAUUUACCCAAAAAAUUCAAAAGCAUUUAAAUAUCAUUAGUGAGUAAAGAAAGCGCUCCCACGUGAAAAAUGCUUUUGUGCGAUACAGAGAAGCUACAUAUAUGGUUAAAGCAUUGACUAUUUUCAUGUCCCACUCCUAACGUUGCCUUGAUGAGUUCGUUUUGUAAAAUACUGGAUCCGCAUUUGGAUGACCCUAUAGAUACACCUGCCGCUAUAUAAAGGGGAGGCACUGUCGAUUUUGAACAUUAGACUUGGAUAUCACUUGAUUCAAUGAUCAAGUUCAAUUUUAAAAAAAAAAUACUUCUUAUUAAAACAAAUACAUCCCUGGUUUUAAAACCUUGUGGUCGCAUUGUAUAUUUACAUACAUAGGCAAAUUUACCCCUGUUAAUAUGCACGUGUACAUUUUCACCAUGUGCACAGGGCUUUACAUUGUUGGGCGUAAUUUCAGAAGUAUAUGAUUAUGAUGGUGUUAGUCCUGUAUAACUAUUGAUAUCAUAAUGGGUUCAAAUCCCAUUGAGGAUUAUGAUACCGCAUCCAGCAGUAUGAUACCGCAAAGUUACAGAUCUAACAUUGUUGGUCUAAAUUUCAGACUAAGUCUAUGUAAUUAGUGGUUAUCCAAUAAAGAAUGCCCGUCGAAGAGCUGUCACAUAGAAAGACGUAUAAAAUAAAAACAUAUAAACUGUCCUGUAUGACUAACUUAUACACGGCAUGAGUUGAUCUGCAAGGUAGUCAUUCUAUACAAGCAUCCAUAAAUCAUGUGAACUGUGUUACAAACCCAAAGGAAGCCGAUUAACAAAAAAAUAUAUUUUUAUAUUUUAUAUGGAGCAUGCAGUUGACCGAGUAAUGUAGGUCGUUGCAUGCAGAAUUGCCUCCUGCUGAGGGGAGAACAAAAUGUGUACGGCUAAAUUUCAGACGAAAUAUUUUACAUCAAUUUAAUUUAUUCAUACUAAACGUUAAACUUUUUUUUAUAUUUUAAUUUUGUACACAGAUUAACCAUUAAUAUUGCACACAAGGUCGACGUUGUCGUAUGGUAUGGAUAUUUUAAAGUACUACCGCCGAUAUCUGAGUGUAAAAUAGCAGGAUUUACUUUUCAAGAGAUAAAGUGCUUUAAUUUAACAGGCUAAUUAUAUUUUUUUAGUCUUCGACUGCAAUAUCAUUUUCGUUAGCAACCAUAAUUUUAUCUCUAUCGACAUUUCUUAUGAUAGUAGCUUAGUAAAAUUAUAUUUAGGUUCUAUGUAUGGUCCGUUUUAUAUAGAAAGCAAAUGUUUGCGAACAGGUAAACUUCACUAACCACUGCCCUCAAGGCUUUUCUUGGGAAUUGAAACCAUCUUUGAAAGUGUCUGGAUUUCUGCAGUUGAUCUAACUCAUCGCGACUCUCUAAAUAAAAUUUCAUCAUUACGCCUAGUUCAAACAAUUAUACUGCGAGUUCUUAUGUCACCUUUACAUAAUCAAUAAUCUUUAAGAAUACCUCUGUUACAGGAUGAAAAACUAUAGUAGCAGAUUAUAAAAUAUCUGGUAUUUUUGUUAAUUCAGAUUCUAUUAAUAGAUUCAUUUGUCUUCUCAGCUUGUUAAUCAGUACAAUCUCUGUGAAAGUUUUUUAUCUGUUGUUCGUUAUGCUGUAUUACAGGUCGACAGGUACAGUACCUGGCGAACCUCCAUUCACGUUUACAAUCAAAGAGAGACUACUCUUGUGAAAAUGCUGAAUAUUUUAUUCUGUUUAUAUAAACUGACAAUCUGCAAAUUUCACAUUCAAAUUAUCUAGCUAUUUUGUUCGUGUGAAAUACUGUAUACCCUCUGUUUAUUUCGACCGGUAACCGUAUAUACAUUUCUCAUAGUUGCUGCCUCAUAAUGGGGAGAGUUACGGCGGGCUUAAUUUUUCCAAGGUUAGUGAAACAAACACAUUCUCAGAGUCAACUAAAAAACGCGCCCAUGUAUCGAUGGCAGCCAAGAAGAAUCACUAAAUUUUCCAUUGUACCAAACAUUUUUAUCAAAAUCUCCUCAAUCAUUUUAGCUGGGACUGAUAGUAAAUUGUUCUAUUGGUCCCAGCUAGAUAUUCAAAAUAGAAUAGACAAUCACAAGAUUUCCAGGCUUAAGGGGGUUCCUAGGUUAAAAUGGGUUUAUUGUAUAUUUAUCAAGCGAAAAAAAAAACCACCCUGUCAAGUUAUUUUGACAGAUUCUGUUUAAUAAGGUAUUACGGGUCUUUUGUUUUUUUGCCAUGAAACGAGUUUAAUGGUCGACGUCAACAAGACACGAACACUGAAAAUUAUGGUUUAUAUGGUUAUAUUAUAAACUCAUAUUAUAUUCCAUGUUUGAGCUGUUUUUUCUUUUGUAUUACCUAUAUUGUAAGUGUUUAAUUUAUUAAUCAUUGUACUGAUUUUGCCCAUCAUGGGUCCUCUAUUGGAAAUAAAAUAAUUGAUCUCUUA